AGCAGCUUGUUGGCCUCAUAGACAUGUCUGUUAAUUGUUUUUGACCGGCUGCUUUUCAGUCUUUUUAAGCUUUGGGCUGACAAUCUUAGCUAGUUAGAUCAAAGUAUGAAAUGGGAAAGAAGACUUGUGCCGUCAUCUUUGGUUUAAGGGAAUAGGGGAGAUGAAAUGAAAAGAAUUAAAAUUUCCGUCCUUGGCUUAAGUAGUAGUGGGGGAAAUGCUGAGAAUGGAAGAAUUUGUUCAAAUUUUUACCAUGGAUGCCCACCAAAAAAUUCCUUUUGUCUGCCCAUAUUAACUCCUUCACCAUCUCUAAGUUACUGAGUUGUUCUUAGAUAUUGGUAUGAAAUAGUUAUGAGCCAUGAAAGUUCCUCUGGCUUUGUUGCAACUAGGAAGAAUAGCAAGGUCCCAUUUGUUUCAUGUAAAAACUAACUUGCUUUCAAAAAUAUGUUGUUUUUCAUUGUUUGGUUACAUUAGUGAAAACUACUUGAAAAUAAUUGUUUAAGUAUUUGGUAUGUAUGAGAAAUAAGUGUUAAAAAGGAAAAGACAAGAGUUGAUUAGUGAUGGUGCUAGAGUUAUGUAAUUCACUCAUCCUCCUUGAAUUUUCAAUCAUUCCAGAUCGUGCAAUCCCAAUCUUGGUGUGUUCGCUAUCCAGAAUGUGAAAUCUGGCAACCCCAUUUUUACUCUAUCCUUUGCUAUAGAUUUGCAAGUAUUCAUGUUUAAAUAUAAGAGUAAAUGUUUAAAACCUAUAUAAUAAAUGAAAUAUUUGGAUUUGAAGAUAUUUGUUAUUAAUUGGAAUCUGAAAAGUUGCUUGGACCAUUCAAUUUUUUUACCUUUUAAAAAAAGCAAAGAAGGAAAGCUGAUAAUUGUGUAGAUGUGUGUGCCUAUAGAAAAUCAAGAGGUUUUUGAGAUGGAUAAUUUGCAUGCUAUUUUCUAGGACCAAGGAUGAAAAUUACCUUAUUUUGAAGUUUUAGUCUACACACAAUAAUACAAUACUUUUAUCUUUUGAUUAUACAUGGAAGACUUAUAAAAACAAACCACUAUUUGAAUUAGCAAUACUAAGCCUACCUCCCACUAAUCGAGUUUCAAGGGGAGGGGCAUUGUAGUAAACACAUGUAUAGCAUAUCAUAACGCACCACAUUCCAAGUAAAUUGGGUGAUGCUUGAGUUACCUAGAACACGGUACAUUAUGGUAUGCAGUUCGCUACCCCCUUUGGAACGCGGUACAAAAGGGGUAGGGCUUAGUGUUUGUUUGGCACUGUAGUAAUUUAUACUUUUCAAAUUGUUUUUUUUGCCUAAAAAAGCAUUACAUUGAUGCUUUUUAGGUGCUUUUAUGUCAAAAAUGAUUUCUUUAUUAAAAAACAUUAUUUUGAUGCAUUUUUAAUUGAAAAGGCAUCACCACAUUACCAAACACACACUUGGUAUGGUAGCUUUUUCAAGUUGUGCUUCGCGUUUGUUCCAGUAGUCCAUUUAUAUAUGUCACAAUUACAUGGUUGCACAUGACAAACUUCCAAACUAGAUAUUUUUGAUUCAGGGGGUUAUAGAAUUUGGUAAACAUUGGGUGCUGUCCAUGAUUUAAUAACAAAGAUUUUCUUGUAAAAUCUUUUCAUCUUGAGAACCGCAAGUUGUUUUCCAUUGUUUUAAGCUUAUUUUUCCUUUGACCAUAAAAUAUUGUUUGUUGACCAAGCUUUCCUAGGUAGCCAAACAUGGAAAAAUGAGGAAAAUAUUUUAUGUGAAACAAACGGAGCCUAAAUUUAUAGCUUACAGUAUUUUGUACUUUAUUAAGUUCCUUCUACCUCUUAUAAACACAUGUGAACUGCAUAAGGUGGUUAUAUAUCUGCUUAUUUUCUCUUCAUCUUAUACCCUCAUGAUAUUUUUGGACCAUGGCAUAAGCCAUGAAAAGAAGUGAGGACAAUUUCUUGUGGCUUGUAGGUUGGCAGUCUUGCAUUGACCAUGACUUUCUUUUUGUGAAAGAAAUACUUGUCAUUAGCUUUAUUUGUGAGAUGGUUUGUUGGUUGUCUGGUGUCCCUCUUAGCAUGCAGCAUCUUUUUUCUCUGUCUAAAGUACUGUUCUGUUGUUUUGAGCUACCAUUCCUUGUAUUAAGAACUAGGUCAGAUACUGCCCUGAUUAUGUGAAAACUUGGAUGGAACCUUAUAUGAAUCUUCAAAUAUAUUUGCAGUUGUUAACUGUAGCCUUUUACAGCUGUGCUUUUGUAGUUGGAUUGCUGGUUUCUGUAUUAUGAAGAUUUCAUCUUUUCUUUUCUUCAUAUUUUUUCCCAUUUGAAAAGUCUCUUCAUAUAUUGAAACUCUUCAUGGCCUGCCUGUUUUAUUAUCUGUACUUUGACAUUAUGACGAUGCUGUGUGUUUGUAUAUACUAUUAAAGCCAUGGUAUUUUAGGUAGCAUUCAUCUGGUGGCUUUCUUCAGCUGCUCAACAUGACUGUUUAUCAG
rnacentral:lncRNA from 1 species